rnacentral:misc_RNA from 1 species
GUGAAGAACGUAGCGAAAUGCGAUAAGUAAUGUGAAUUGCAGAAUUCAGUGAAUCAUCGAAUCUUUGAACGCACAUUGCGCCCCCUGGUAUUCCGGGGGGCAUGCCUGUUCGAGCGUCAUUUCACCACUCAAGCCUCGCUUGGUAUUGGGCAACGCGGUCCGCCGCGUGCCUCAAAUCGUCCGGCUGGGUCUUCUGUCCCCUAAGCGUUGUGGAAACUAUUCGCUAAAGGGUGUUCGGGAGGCUACGCCGUAAAACAACCCCAUUUCUAAGGUUGACCUCGGAUCAGGUAGGGAUACCCGCUGAACUUAAGCAUAUCAAUAAGCGGAGGA